UACAGAGGGUGCGAGCGUUUGUUCGGAAUUAUUGGGCGUAAAGGGCGCGUAGGCGGCGCCACAAGUCACUUGUGAAAAACUCUGGGCUCAACCCAGAGCCUGCAGGCGAAACUGUGGUGCUGGAGUAUGGGAGAGGUGCGUGGAAUUCCGGUGUAGCGGUGGAAUGCGCAGAUAUCGGGAAGAACACCCGUGGCGAAGGCGGCACUCUGGGACGGUACUGGAACGCUGAGACGGCGAAAAGCGUGGGGAGCGAACAGGA
rnacentral:rRNA from 1 species